AGAAGAGGAAGCGUGGCCAAGCGCCCAAAGAAACACUGAGGAGGCUGAGGAGGAGGCGUGCGCAGGCGUGGUUGGGGCGGAGUCGAAGGGGAGGAGCUCACCGGGGGCCGGGAGAGUGAGAUUGGCCCCUCUAAGCAAAGGAAAUGUGUGGAAACUCGAUUUCUCUAAUCCAAAGAGAUAAACUUUGUGUUGGAGAAGAAAUGUGAUCAUUUGAAUUAAUGAACAACACUCUAUAUUCUCUGUGAGGUUUACUUCUUCGGUACUUCUACGAGUAGGUUUUCAGCGACUAGCCCCAGACAGAUCGUUCAGGGCUUUAAUGACCACUAACGGGAAACGGUGCCCAUAGACUGCAGAGUCAGCUCUUCUUCAGGCCUUGCUCAAAGCGGAUUCCCGGUCACAUCUUCCGCGGAAAAAAAGCCGGACUCAGUAGGCUCUAACCAACCGUUGCUACUGGCGAUCAAGACGACGCUUUCACCUUUCACGCCUCCUAGCCCCGACAGUCGCAAGCCCCGCCUCCAGGGACGCCUGGAAAACUCGGACCACGGAGCAGUGAAGCUGGGGACCCGGAGCAACCGCGCGGCCGAGCUGAGCAUGCUCGGAGGGCGGCUCGAUAGCGGGAGGAAGCGGCGCGGGCGGCCGGCGCUGCACGCCGCGUCGUUGUUGUGAUACAGCCCUCGCCACGUGACUGCGCCGGGCCCGCCUCCAGGCGCGCGGUGCCGCCUCCCCGUGACUCAGCACUUUGUGCCUGUUCUGUGCUAGAGGUCACUGCCGGGGAUGCUGCUUGGGGCAAAGUUUCGGCCCUCCACUCCUGACACUCUCCCAUCCCCCACACCCGGCUGCUGCUCCUAAGUGUUGCAGCAGCCAUUUCAGACUCAUUGGUUUUCGGGCCUCUUGAGUACGGAGGAAAAAAAUCUAUUUCCCUGUGGUCAUGCCAGUUCCCAUUUUCCCUGAGUCAGCAGCUCCGAUGAUAGCCUGGAGCUGACCGCCCAAAGAUCAAACGAGGAAAGCAGAGGGACUUGUGCCUAAGGGUCUCUAAGGGAGAAAUUUGCAGGUUCAGGCCGCUUUGCAGUCACCCGCCCCAGCCCUUACUGCUCUGGCUUGAACGUCCUCUAGAUGGUAUCCCAGCGGUCGCAGUAAUUUACUCUUCAUGGUGCACCUGCUUAUGCCGAGCACUUUGAUCUAGAAUCCAUGGAACAAUCCUGGUUGUUGCCAUGUUUUAUAGAUAAGGCAACUGAGAUCCAGUAAUACUAACAGGUAGUGGCUGCUCAGGGAUCUGAACUACAGUGCACUUUCUAUUACAACUCAUAGUCUGGGUGGAGCUGAAGGCCUCCUUCUGUGGGGCUCCUGUCUUCUUGAUGCCACCUCCGCUAAGCCCUCCUCUCCUCUGACAUUCCCUUUCCCCCCAAAAACCUCUGUUCUGACGGUGAGGUGUUUUAAGAUUUUCUUGCUUUGUGUUUUAAUUAUUGGUAGAAACAACUAGUUGUUUCUCAACUCAAGUGCAUACAGUACAAAAUGCAAAAGAUGCAUAAAGCAUUUUUCCCCUACCAUCGCAUUGUACUUAGAAUUUGACUACGUUGAAGAAAUACCCCAGGGCUUUAUCACAGAAGAGCAGUGCCCAAAAGACUGUGGUCUUCACCCUGGCUCAGGGGAGCGUGCCCAGUCCUUCUAAGCAAAGUUGUGUUUGUUAUCAUCAGGGACACUUCCUUCUUCACCUGAGGUUUCUCUCCCAGCCUAAACAUUCUCUGAUGUCAAUACCACUAAGUUAGUUGAAAAAGUGCAUUUUUUUUUUGUAUUGUGUAGUAUUUCUAACACAUGUUGCUGAGAUAUGUUACUGUCAUUCUAAGUCGACAAAACACUGAACCACCGUCAACUUGAUUUUUAAAGCCGACUUUUAGUUCAUAUGGAUUUUUCAAAAAUAAAAAUGUGCUUAUUUUCAUAUAGUCACAAAAGGUUUUUGCUCCCUCAAGUGAGGCCUAUAUUAAGAUGAGGAAGCUUGAGUGUAAAGAAGAUGGAUAGGAGUCAAUGGGGUGAGAUUAAAGAUGUGGGAAUGAGAGAGGAUGCCUUUAGAAGAUCUCUCAGGAGACAUGAUGGAAUCCGGGACACAUGUGAAAUGGUGAGGUUUUUCAUAACAGUAUCACGAUCUUAUCAGAUGCUAGGGAAGCAGAUAAGGAGGCCAAGAUUGAUGUGUUGGGACAGGGAAGGUAAUAGCUCAGCCUAGUAGAUUCACUCUCUUCACUGGAGUAUGGUUAAAGAAACACAAUUUUUUAUUGCAGACAUUUCCGAGCAAGCAGAAAAGUACAGAGGACAUAGUGUAAUGUACCUAUUACCCAUCUUCAGUAUCACCACAUAGCUAAUCUCAUCUCAGGUAUUCACCCCCUCCCAUUAAUUUAAAGCAAAUCUCACUGGCAUCUGAUCUCAGGUAGUUAGCUUUAAGUGACGAAUGUAAAAGACAAUUUGAGCAAUUGGUACUGAGGGAUGAUCCAGGAAGAUGAAAAGGAGAAAGCAAUAGGCUAAUCCCUUACUGGAAGUCAAUUUCCUUCAUCCUAAAAUUGGAGACAGGUGAUGUUAUCCAAUUGUUUUUAUUCCAACUUUUCUAGCUAUUGUUCUACAUUAGGUGACCUUGCAUUUGAAAACAAAACUAAAAAACCAUACUUGUCCCAUGUGGUAUAAACUUUCACAGUGGCUGGCAUGGGUAAUUAUUAUUGUCAAAGGAGGCCCACUGUCAAAUAUGAGUAAGGUCUUUAAGGCAUGUAUUUAUGUUUUUGAAGAUUCCUAUUUUUUCUUCCCAUUGCACUCACCUUUAUUCACAUAGAUGUAAGCUUCAUUCUAGAUUAGAUAACACCAAAUAAUUGACCUUUGGCACACAGCAAUUUGUGGAUGAUGAAAUGUGAAAAAGUGCCAAUCAUAAUUACACCUACGUGGAAAGGCAACUAUACUGGAUACCAAGCAAUUUUGCUUCAAUAAGACAUGUCCAAAAAGCAAAAACAAAAACAAAGGAAUAACAUAAUUGUACUUCCGGGAGGUAUUUUUCACACACGAUACCCCCUGCUGCUGCUUAUUUUAGUACUUAGUUAUUUAAUAGUUAUUUUGAAGGGAAAAAUCAACUCAUCGAAAAACUGCCUAUCCUACAAUGCACGGGAGAGCCCCACACAAAGAACUAUUCAACUCAAAAUGUCAACAGAGUGAAGGUUGAGAAACCUUGGUCUACAUGUAUUAGGAUUAACUCUAAAUAUUACAUGGGUGCCUUUCUUUAAACAUUUGUGACGGGCACCUGGGUGGCUCGGUUGGUUAAGCAGCUCAGGUCAUGAUCUCACGGUUUGUGGGUUCGAGCCCCACAUCGAUCGGGCUCUGUAAUGACAGAGCAUGGAACCUACUUUCGGAUUCUGUGUCUUCUCCCUCUGCCCCUCAUCCACUCACACUGUUUCUCAAAAA